rnacentral:lncRNA from 1 species
CAGCCAUCCUCAGCAACAGUGAGGUCCUGAGUUCCUCAGAUGAUCAGGUUGGCCGAGUUCCCAUCAGGAAAGCCAAUGCAGCAAGCACCGUGCACCAUCUUCCCCUCUGCAGCCAGGAAGUGAUGCUCAAAGUGAGGACCAGAGCUCCCCCAAAGUGAACCAAAGCCUUUCUCAGUGACAAAGAGGUCCUGAGCUCCUCGGAGGAUGAAAACAGCCAGGUUCAUCAGGAAAGCCAGCAUGACAAGCUCCUUCGAAGGAACCAACAGCUCCUUACAGCUUCCACCAGCUCCUGACAGCCUCCUCCUGCUUCUCCAGUUCUGCCUCUUAUGCUGCUGGCAACAAUCCCCAGAUCGUGGAAAUCCUAACAACCAAUGAAGAACCAGAAGCAAAUAAGAGCCAUGUCGGACGCAAGGAAAAUGUAGAAAAUCGCUUGGCCAAUUCGACAGAAACUCUUACAGAUUUUUUAAAAGAUUGGCUUCUAGGGUUUCUAAAAAAAUUUUUUUUUAUUUUCCUCUGUCUUCUUAAUCACUUUUUCACAGAAUAUGUUACUUUCAUUCCAUCUGUGAAAAAGAGUCUAUGAGUGAAUAAGUCUAGGUAACACUGUUUCCUAUAUCAUCUCUUUGAACAUUACUAUUUGCAACCACAUAUGAAAAAUUCCAUGAAAGUGUGAUAUUAAAUAAACAGAUUUAAACUUCACAUCCCGG